rnacentral:rRNA from 1 species
CCUACGGGAGGCAGCAGUGAGGAAUAUUGGUCAAUGGACGAGAGUCUGAACCAGCCAAGUAGCGUGAAGGAUGACUGCCCUAUGGGUUGUAAACUUCUUUUAUAUGGGAAUAAAAUGUUCCACGUGUGCGUUUUUGUAUGUACCAUAUGAAUAAGGAUCGGCUAACUCCGUGCCAGCAGCCGCGGUAAUACGGAGGAUCCGAGCGUUAUCCGGAUUUAUUGGGUUUAAAGGGAGCGUAGGUGGAUUGUUAAGUCAGUUGUGAAAGUUUGCGGCUCAACCGUAAAAUUGCAGUUGAAACUGGCAGUCUUGAGUACAGUAGAGGUAGGCGGAAUUCGUGGUGUAGCGGUGAAAUGCUUAGAUAUCACGAAGAACUCCGAUUGCGAAGGCAGCUCACUGGACUGCAACUGACACUGAGGCUCGAAAGUGUGGGUAUCAAACAGGAUUAGAUACCCCUGUAGUC